rnacentral:misc_RNA from 1 species
AACGCACCUUGCACUCUCUGGUAUUCCGGAGAGUAUGUCUGUUUGAGCGUCGUGAACACCUCAACCCCUCCGGUUUUUAAUUAAGCCUGGUUGUUUCGGGCUUGGACCAUGAGCACACUGUCUCUUUUCGCAAGAGACUUGCUCGAAAUACAAAUCGAGUCGUAUAUAUACUGCGGUUUGAAUCUUGGCGUGAUAAGACUACACUUUUCGCCUUGAUGGCGCGGUUACUACACUCUAGUGAUCACAAACUAGUCUUUUGAAUCAAUAGACCUCAAAUCAGAUAGGACUACCCGCUGAACUUAA